rnacentral:rRNA from 1 species
GGCUCAGGAUGAACGCUGGCGGCGUGCCUAAUACAUGCAAGUCGAGCGAACAGAUAAGGAGCUUGCUCCUUUGACGUUAGCGGCGGACGGGUGAGUAACACGUGGAUAACCUACCUAUAAGACUGGGAUAACUUCGGGAAACCGGAGCUAAUACCGGAUAAGAUUUUGAACCGCAUGGUUCAAUAGUGAAAGACGGCCUUGCUGUCACUUAUAGAUGGAUCCGCGCCGUAUUAGCUAGUUGGUAAGGUAACGGCUUACCAAGGCAACGAUACGUAGCCGACCUGAGAGGGUGAUCGGCCACACUGGAACUGAGACACGGUCCAGACUCCUACGGGAGGCAGCAGUAGGGAAUCUUCCGCAAUGGGCGAAAGCCUGACGGAGCAACGCCGCGUGAGUGAUGAAGGUCUUCGGAUCGUAAAACUCUGUUAUCAGGGAAGAACAAACGUGUAAGUAACUGUGCACGUCUUGACGGUACCUGAUCAGAAAGCCACGGCUAACUACGUGCCAGCAGCCGCGGUAAUACGUAGGUGGCAAGCGUUAUCCGGAAUUAUUGGGCGUAAAGCGCGCGUAGGCGGUUUUUUAAGUCUGAUGUGAAAGCCCACGGCUCAACCGUGGAGGGUCAUUGGAAACUGGAAAACUUGAGUGCAGAAGAGGAAAGUGGAAUUCCAUGUGUAGCGGUGAAAUGCGCAGAGAUAUGGAGGAACACCAGUGGCGAAGGCGACUUUCUGGUCUGUAACUGACGCUGAUGUGCGAAAGCGUGGGGAUCAAACAGGAUUAGAUACCCUGGU